CCCUUAGAUGUUCUGGUCCGCACGCGUGCUACACUGAGUGGAUCAGCGGGUCAGCUUGCGCGAAAGCGUUUCCUAAUCUUUAAAUCCGCUCGUUAUGGGGAUUGACGGUUGCAAUUUUCUGUCAUGAACGAGGAAUACCUUGUAAGCGCGGGUCAUCAUCCCGCGCUGAAUACGUCCCUGCCCUUUGUACACACCGCCCGUCGCUACUACCGAUUGAACGGUUUAGUGAGGGCCUCGGAUUGGUCUCGGCCCGCUCUUUACCGGGCGGCGCCGUUGGUCGAGAAGACGCUCGAACUUGAUCGUUUAGAGGAAGUAAAAGUCGUAACA
rnacentral:rRNA from 1 species